rnacentral:rRNA from 1 species
UAAUACGAAGGGGGCUAGCGUUGUUCGGAAUUACUGGGCGUAAAGGGCGUGUAGGCGGUUCGUUAAGUCAGGCGUGAAAUGCCCGGGCUCAACCUGGGAACUGCGCUUGAUACUGGCGGACUAGAGUCCGGGAGAGGAUGGUGGAACUCCCAGUGUAGAGGUGAAAUUCGUAGAUAUUGGGAAGAACACCCGUGGCGAAGGCGGCCAUCUGGACCGGUACUGACGCUAAGGCGCGACAGCGUGGGGAGCAAACAGGAUUAGAUACCCUGGUAGUCCACGCCGUAAACGAUGAGUGCUAGACGUUGGGAAGCCUAGCUUCUCGGUGUCGCAGCUAACGCAUUAAGCACUCCGCCUGGGGAGUACGGCCGCAAGGUUG